GCAUAUCAAUAAGCGGAGGAAAAGAAACCAACCGGGAUUGCCCCAGUAACGGCGAGUGAAGCGGCAAGAGCUCAAAUUUGAAAUCUGGCCCCUCUGGGGUCCGAGUUGUAAUUUGCAGAGGAUGCUUCGGGUGCGGCCCCCGUCUAAGUGCCCUGGAACGGGCCGUCAGAGAGGGUGAGAAUCCCGUCUUGGGCGGGGUGUCCGUGCCCGUGUGAAGCUCCUUCGACGAGUCGAGUUGUUUGGGAAUGCAGCUCUAAAUGGGUGGUAAAUUUCAUCUAAAGCUAAAUACCGGCCGGAGACCGAUAGCGCACAAGUAGAGUGAUCGAAAGAUGAAAAGCACUUUGAAAAGAGAGUUAAACAGCACGUGAAAUUGUUGAAAGGGAAGCGCUUGCGACCAGACUCGCCCACGGGGUUCAGCCGGCACUCGUGCCGGUGUACUUCCCCGCGGGCGGGCCAGCGUCGGUUUGGGCGGCCGGUCAAAGGCCCCGGGAAUGUGUCGCCCUCCGGGGCGUCUUAUAGCCCGGGGUGCAAUGCGGCCAGCCCAGACCGAGGAACGCGCUUCGGCACGGACGCUGGCGUAAUGGUCGCAAACGACCCGUCUUGAAACACGGACCAAGGAGUCUAACAUCUACGCGAGUGUUCGGGUGUCAAACCCGUACGCGCAGUGAAAGCGAACGGAGGUGGGAGCCCCUCUGGGGCGCACCAUCGACCGAUCCUGAUGUCUUCGGAUGGAUUUGAGUACGAGCGUAGCUGUGGGGACCCGAAAGAUGGUGAACUAUGCCUGAAUAGGGCGAAGCCAGAGGAAACUCUGGUGGAGGCUCGCAGCGGUUCUGACGUGCAAAUCGAUCGUCAAAUUUGGGUAUAGGGGCGAAAGACUAAUCGAACCAUCUGGUAGCUGGUUCCUGCCGAA
rnacentral:rRNA from 1 species